GCAAGUCGAGGGGUAACAGGAGAAGCUUGCUUUUCGCUGACGACCGGCGCACGGGUGCGUAACGCGUAUGCAACCUACCUUAUACUGGGGAAUAGCCCGAAGAAAUUCGGAUUAAUGCCCCAUAGUAUUGUCGAUUCGCCUGUUUUGACAAUUAAAGAUUACGGUAUAAGAUGGGCAUGCGUCCCAUUAGCUAGAUGGUAAGGUAACGGCUUACCAUGGCAACGAUGGGUAGGGGGCCUGAGAGGGUGAUC
rnacentral:rRNA from 1 species